AAUGGGCGCAAGCCUGAUCCAGCCAUGCCGCGUGAGUGAUGAAGGCCCUAGGGUCGUAAAGCUCUUUCGCCUGUGAAGAUAAUGACGGUAGCAGGUAAAGAAACCCCGGCUAACUCCGUGCCAGCAGCCGCGGUAAUACGGAGGGGGUUAGCGUUGUUCGGAAUUACUGGGCGUAAAGCGCACGUAGGCGGAUUAGUCAGUCAGAGGUGAAAUCCCAGGGCUCAACCCUGGAACUGCCUUUGAUACUGCUAGUCUUGAGUUCGAGAGAGGUAAGUGGAAUUCCGAGUGUAGAGGUGAAAUUCGUAGAUAUUCGGAGGAACACCAGUGGCGAAGGCGGCUUACUGGCUCGAUACUGACGCUGAGGUGCGAAAGUGUGGGGAGCAAACAGGAUU
rnacentral:rRNA from 1 species